UCUUUGCUAGUAUAUCGGUUAGUACACGCGCUUGUCAUGUAUGCCUCUAUACGCGCGAAAGCUGGGUUCGACUCCCAGGCAGAGAG